GAUGAACGCUAGCGGCAGGCUUAAUACAUGCAAGUCGAGGGGCAGCAGCGAGAACUUCGGUUCUUGGCUGGCGACCGGCGAACGGGUGCGUAACGCGUAUGCAACCUGCCUCGUACAGGAGGAUAGCCCGGAGAAAUCCGGAUUAAUACUCCAUAAUAUUAUCGAUCCGCAUGGAUUGAUAAUUAAAGCUUCGGCGGUACGAGAUGGGCAUGCGUGUCAUUAGCUAGAUGGUGAGGUAAUGGCUCACCAUGGCUACGAUGACUAGGGGUCCUGAGAGGGAGGUCCCCCACACUGGAACUGAGACACGGUCCAGACUCCUACGGGAGGCAGCAGUGAGGAAUAUUGGACAAUGGGCGCAAGCCUGAUCCAGCAAUGCCGCGUGUGUGAAGAAGGCCUGAGGGUUGUAAAGCACUUUCAAUUGUAAAGAGCGGCUAAUGGUUAAUACCCAUUAGCCUUGACAUUAACUUUAGAAGAAGCACCGGCUAACUCCGUGCCAGCAGCCGCGGUAAUACGGAGGGUGCAAGCGUUAAUCGGAAUUACUGGGCGUAAAGCGUGCGUAGGCGGUUUAUCAAGUCAGAUGUGAAAGCCCUGGGCUUAACCUAGGAACUGCAUUUGAAACUGAUAAACUAGAGUAUGGUAGAGGAAAGUGGAAUUUCUGGUGUAGCGGUGAAAUGCGUAAAUAUCAGAAGGAACAUCAAUGGCGAAGGCAGCUUUCUGGACCAAUACUGACGCUCAGGCACGAAAGCGUGGGUAGCAAGCAGGAUUAGAUACCCUGGUAGUCCACGCCGUAAACGAUGAUAACUAGCCGUUGGGAGGAUUUACCUCUUAGUGGCGAAGCUAACGCGUUAAGUUAUCCGCCUGGGGAGUACGGCCGCAAGGCUAAAACUCAAAGGAAUUGACGG
rnacentral:rRNA from 1 species